GCUUGUUUCCCUCGUCGAGAUUUGUCGUCUCUUCCGAUUGCAGUUCAUGAAUUUUGUCGAGUAUCGUCAAGUGCAGAGAUUGGUUUUGUGACUACAAGCGGCUAGUUGGGGACAGUGUAACGUUCCUAAUGGCCUGAAGCGCUCAAAUUAGCCCCAGAUUUACAGAGCCCGUCAGCAAUGAAGGUACAUCGCAUAGUAGCUUGUAUGACGUAUGAUGUGUCGUGUGCGGGCUGAUGGACGUGAUGCGGAAUCUUUAUCUGAAGCGUUUCACGACAAGAUGUUUUCCGACCACCGUUCCGGAAAAUGAUCCUCUUGUUUUCCAAACAUCCGAGUGUGAUUCAAGUGCAACAAUUAUUCUUGAAACGCUCCAGUGGUCGUGGUCGUAUGCCUCUUUUCGCGCGCUUUUCAUGAAUCGUGAUGUUACUUGAGAAGUAUCUACUGUUGGUGAAAAGAUGCAAGAUGUGAAAAUCGCGAGGAAUAUGUGCAUAUUCUCUGCAGCCUUGGAUUAUCAAGGUCUUGGGUGUUUUAUGUGCUAAAAACGAUUGAGUGCAUUUUGAACUACUGUAUUUUAACGGUCUAGAAAGUGUCUUGAAUCUUUGCAAUGAUGAAAAGCUCAUCGAUUUCUUGGAAAAAAUAUUGAACUGAAUUGAAAGUGAAAGUAAAGUUUACAUAGGAAAAUUGAGGAGAAUGGAAAAAGAUACUCAAAAGUAGAUAUUACUGCAGAGGAUAAGAAAAACAUCCCUGCGGAGACUGAGGAAGUAAGCGAACAAUAUAAGUUUAAACAUCUGUAACUAUGCUGAGCGGAAGCAAAUUAAAAACUAAAUAAGUGUAUGUGUAACAAUAGUUGUUGUCUAAUGUAUGUUAGUCCUAAGAAAUGAUUCCUAGAUAUAAAUUUAAUCGUAUUGCAAUCACAUAGUGUCCAGUGUUCCUUCUUGAAAGUGGUUUCAACAUCUAAACAAACACUUACCCUCUGUCGUUCAAUAAAAAAGUGUAAUGUGCAAAUAUUCCUUAAGAAGAAAAAGUUUCUCAUAAUUUUUAUGUGUAAUAAAUGUUAGUGUAAUUAAAAUGAAAAAUUCACAAGAAAAAAAAUAAAAGUCCAGAUAAAAAAGAAAGUUUAGCUGUGAGCUCUCCUGGAAGCGACGUGGAAGGUGUGCUGGUCAAGGAGAUUACAGGGGAUUUGUGUAGCAAGUGUUGCUUGUUAUUCAGAUAAUUUUCAGACUGGAUUUAUCGCUGGCGGAAGUUAAGAACAACGAGGGAGCUUAAGGGAGGAAUGCUUGGGAAGGCGAUAUUGCCUUCUAUGGAAUGCCUUCCAAGACCUUGCUAAGGUGGCAAGGCGACGUAACCGAAAGGCUGAAAUGGAUUGGAAAACGCGUUGGAGAGAGUUGGGUGUGUAGCCUCCAUUGGCGGAGGCGAAAAAGACCCCUCGUAGUCUCUCAGCAUAAUGCACCGUUUGCGUACAACAUUUACGAGGUCACGAACACCAACCGGGGCUGAAAUGAAAACCCAAAGUAGUCUCGAAGUACCCAAACAGGUCCGUUCUGCCUCCUUCGAUGAGAUGAAGUUGGAGACGCAGCGAACGGCGCAACUGCUAAAACAUCAAGCCUCCGCUGACGAGCAAUCGACGACGGGUUUUCUUCAAGUGCCUCAAGCUCAUUCGCAACGAUCGAGAAGUUUCGAUUCGGCCGGAAGUGAUGAUUCGGGCACAUUCCUCGAAGUACCUAGGCGAUUUCAAACGAAACGACGUUCAUCGAAUACAAAAACGCCUCCUCCAUGUAUUCACUGUCAGUACUUGGAGGAGUACGAACGCCAGGUGACUGCAGAUCAACGAUACUUUAUUGAUCAGAACGAGGUGAAAUCCUUGAGCUAUAGUGAUCCAUCGACCAGCGAGGAUGAAGGCGUCGAUGAAGAAAGCCCCCAGUUUGGAAAUACCUUGAUUCCGCCUCCCUUGUCAUCACCCUGCAACAUUACCUUCACCCUCUCGCCCACCAGUAGCACGUAUCCUCCAUUUCCGACGGACGCCGAAAUUCUCGGAUCACCCCCUGUUUCACCGGUGUUUACCAAUUCACCUACAAUCGAACUGCCUCCUAUUACUUUCGAUGAGGCUCCUCCUCCUAGGGCUCGAAGACGCUCAAUAUCCCGACAGGAAGCAAUUUUCGUUGAGCCCAAGGGGAACUCGCUGGAAAAUGUUAGUGCAGAAGAGAAAGAGCCAGGCGAAGAGACGGACAGUGCCGUCAAGGAUCAGGAGGCGGAAAAGCAGACAGAAAAGGAUAAGGCUGUGAACGAAGUUUCACCCCUGGAUCAUGUUCAGGAUAUAUAUUUGGCUGUGCCUGAUUUGAAGCGAGAUCGUGCCGCUUCAGUCGACUCAUGUUUUUCCAAAGUAUCUUCGGCAGGAAAAACCGAAGAACUCCAACCACCCGACGAUGGAUCUUUUCUCAAUGUGCCGAGCAUAAAUGCGACUCGAUCGCGGUCUGUUGACAUUGUCCUGCCCACUAACGAACAAGCGCGCUAUAAGGCGCUGGCGAUGACCGGAGCCGUCGCAUAUGGAGAAGGAAAGCCAAGUGGGGGAUCAACAGGUGGCUCACAGCAAAUUCGAAUAGUUCCGGACUGGAGCGAAAAUGCCAUCAACGGUGAUCAUUUAUGGGCUCCAACGUCGGCUUCGGGAGAGAUGUGUUCCAUUCCUGAUGAGUGUCGAAAAAGUGGACAACGUAUGAAAUGUGCAGCGUGUCAAAUUAUAGCCCAUAUGAAUUGCAUUCCAAUUGUAAGUUCGAAAACCCAACUGGCGUGCAGACCGACAUUUCGUGAUGUAGGCGUGAGGCAAUACCGUGAGCAAACAACAACGCACCAUCAUUGGUUACAUCGGCGUACAGAGAAGGCGAAAUGUAAAGCGUGCAGCAAGGCGGCCCAAGGAAAAUUGUUCGGAUCCAAGGAAAUUGUAGCGCUGACGUGUGCUUGGUGCAAAUCCACAUAUCAUAAUAAGGAAGCGUGCUUCAAUCCCGAACGAAUAGGAGAAGAGUGCUCCUUAGGUUGCCAUGCUUCUAUUAUAGUGCCUCCUUCGUGGAUAGUAAAGUUGCCGAGCAGAGGUAAUUUCAAAUCAUCCCUGCGAGCAUCCAAGAAGAAACCAGCCAGUAAAAAGAGGAAUAAAGAGAAGGAAAACCGAGCCUUUAUUAUAAAACCAAUACCCACAGUCAAUGUAACGCCUGUAAUUGUUUUUAUAAACCCGAAGAGUGGCGGUAACCAGGGUGUAAAACUUCUUCAGAAGUUUCAGUGGCUAUUAAACCCACGUCAAGUUUUCGACUUGACGCAAGGCGGACCAAAAAUGGGGUUGGAGUUAUUCCGGAAAGUUCCACAACUUCGUAUCCUAGCAUGUGGUGGUGACGGCACAGUCGGUUGGGUUCUAUCCGUUCUAGAUCAGAUUAACAUUCAGCCCCAGCCAGCCGUAGGUGUUCUUCCACUCGGGACCGGAAAUGAUUUAGCCCGGGCACUUGGAUGGGGCGGGGGUUACACAGAUGAGCCAAUCGGUAAAAUCCUCCAGAACAUUGGGAAAUCCGACACAGUUCUCCUGGAUCGUUGGAGUUUGAAAGUGGAACCUAACACCGCCGCCGAACCAACCGACGAGGGCAAGGAAAACCUGCCCCUGAACGUUGUUAAUAAUUACUUCUCAUUUGGUGUUGAUGCACAUAUUGCCUUAGAAUUCCACGAAGCCCGAGAGGCUCAUCCGGAACGUUUUAACUCUCGUCUGAGAAAUAAAAUGUUCUACGGCCAAGCAGGUGGUAAAGAUUUGCUGCAGCGAAAGUGGAAAGCCCUAGCCGAUUUCGUAACAUUGGAGUGCGAUGGACAAGAUUACACCCCUAAACUAAAGGAUCUUCGAAUGCAUGCUAUUGUGUUUUUGAAUAUCGCAAGUUAUGGCGGUGGUACUCAUCCUUGGAGCAAAACUCCAGGAACAUCCGAGCCAAGUACCGAUGAUGGAUUAAUCGAGGUGGUUGGUUUGACUACCUAUCAGUUGCCGUUGCUUCAAGCUGGUGGACACGGUACGACAAUAUGCCAAUGUAAAUCAGCAAAAAUUGUUACAACAAAGACAAUCCCUAUGCAAGUGGAUGGUGAAGCGGCUAAGCUAAAACCAUCUAUAAUUGAGCUCACUUUACUCAAUAAGGCUGUGAUGUUAGCUAAGAAGAAACCUGGCCGAAAUAUCGUUCAAUUGGGCGGUAUGGAGCCACUUAAUUUAAGCAUUCAUCGAAUAACAAUGCCUGAUUACGAGCAACACCACUACGAUAAGGAACUGCUGAAACAAUCCGCCGUGAAUUUGGGUAAUAUCGAAAUUGAGCCCGUUUCCGACCUGGAACAGGCUCGCAAUGCUAUUAACAAAUAUUGUGAUGAAUCGUCCAAUUUCCCGAAGCUAUCACAAGAAUGGUGUUUCGUUGACUCAUGUACUGCUGAACGAUUCUUUCGAAUCGAUCGUGCUCAGGAGCAUCUCCACUAUAUAACUGAUAUCGCAACUGAUGUGAUCUAUGUUCUGGACCAAGAGUGCGCAACAAUGCCACAAACUCCGGAUGCAGAUGGCUCAUUUGCUGCCUUCAACCAGAAACAAAAGUCGAUUCAUGAUGCCGAACUCAAUAGCCACCAUAGAAAUAGCUGCCCAACUUACUAGAAAAGACAACCGAAUCAGUCCUGCAUGCCGCUAAGGAUGGAGAUCUCAAUAUGCUACGCUUUUUACAUGAACAAAAUUUUUCUCUACUCGCAAUCGAUUCAAAUGGUCAAACAGCUCUUCAUUAUGGGUGUAAAUAUA
rnacentral:misc_RNA from 1 species